AAUUCUCAAUCUCUUCUGGAUUUUUUAUUCGGAGGAGUAUUGGAUUGUGAGGGUCUGCCGGCUUAUUUUAAUCCGGCUCCCUUUAAAUGCAUUAGCGUUGCCUCAGCCGAUCGAACGCCCCUCGGUAUGAUAAUUAUCUAUGCCGUGUCGGGGAUCGCAUGAGCUUGUGCGCUUCUAAUAGUCUUCUCGGUGAGACACUAUCAUA
rnacentral:misc_RNA from 1 species